rnacentral:misc_RNA from 1 species
AGCAGCCGCGGUAAUUCCAGCUCCAAUAGCGUAUAUUAAAGUUGUUGCAGUUAAAAAGCUCGUAGUUGAAUUUCGGGGUUAGUAGGUUGGUCAUGCCUCUGGUAUGUACUGGUCUCACUGAUUCCUCCUUCCUGAUGAGCCGUAAUGCCAUUAAUUUGGUGUUGCGGGGAAUUUGGACUGUUACUUUGAAAAAAUUAGAGUGUUUAAAGCAAGCUAACGCUUGAAUACAUUAGCAUGGAAUAAUGAAAUAGGACGUUCGAUCCUAUUUUGUUGGUUUCUAGGAUUGACGUAAUGAUUAAUAGGGAUAGUUGGGGGCAUUAGUAUUCAAUUGUUAGAGGUGAAAUUCUUGGAUUUAUUGAAGACUAACUACUGCGAAAGCAUUUGCCAAGGAUGUUUUCAUUAAUCAAGAACGAAAGUUAGGGGAUCGAAGACGAUCAGAUACCGUCGUAGUCUUAACCAUAAACUAUGCCGACUAGGGAUCGGAUGAUGUUAAUUUUUUAAUGACUCAUUCGGCGCCUUA